CCGGCACGGGUGAGUAACACGUAUCCAACCUGCCGUCUACUCUUGGCCAGCCUUCUGAAGGAAGAUUAAUCCAGGAUGGCAUCAUGAGUUCACAUGUCCGCAUGAUUAAAGGUAUUUUCCGGUAGACGAUGGGGAUGCGUUCCAUUAGGCAGUUGGUGGGGUAACGGCCCACCAAACCUUCGAUGGAUAGGGGUUCUGAGAGGAAGGUCCCCCACAUUGGAACUGAGACACGGUCCAA
rnacentral:rRNA from 1 species